GCAGUCGAACGGGGAAAGAGAGGUUCGCCUUUCUUUCUUAGUGGCGCACGGGUGAGUAAUGUAUAGCUAACCUGCCCCUUGGAGGGGAACAACAGUUGGAAACGACUGCUAAUACCCCAUACUCCUUCUUACUCUAAGGUAAGUCGGGAAAACUCCGGUGCCAAGGGAUGGGGCUGUAUCCUAUCAGCUUGUUGGUGAGGUAAUGGCUCACCAAGGCAAUGACGGGUAGCUGGUCUGAGAGGAUGAUCAGCCACACUGGAACUGAGACACGGUCCAGACUCCUACGGGAGGCAGCAGUGGGGAAUAUUGCACAAUGGGGGAAACCCUGAUGCAGCAACGCCGCGUGGAGGAUGACGCAUUUCGGUGUGUAAACUCCUUUUAUAAGGGAAGAUAAUGACGGUACCUUAUGAAUAAGCACCGGCUAACUCCGUGCCA
rnacentral:rRNA from 1 species